CCACCCCUACCCCCACCCACCGCCCACUCCCCACGGGCCAGGCUGCUGCAGGCGAGCGCAGAAAGAGCUGAGGGCGGACGCCCAGGCGAAAGAAAGCUUCAAGCACUGAGGGUCGGUUGCCUCUCCUGGCUUGCCGAGUUUUAAAUAUUGUCUUAUUAUUAUUUUCAUGAUUAUGGUGAUUUCUGAGCACUAACACUAAUGCAGCUCAGAGGAAGGCGGGCCCAACAGAAUAGAAAUCAAACAGCGAAGGAGAGGAAGGCAUGGACCCGAGUGACCAUGGGAUGGUUAGGUAGGAUUUUAGAGGCGACUGC
rnacentral:lncRNA from 1 species